rnacentral:tRNA from 4 species
AAGAGUAUAGUUUAAUGGUAAAACGAUGAGCUUCAACCUCAUUUAUCUGGGUUCAAGUCCUAGUACUCUUG